ensembl:lincRNA E130018O15Rik RIKEN cDNA E130018O15 gene
GCAGAACGCUCGGUUUGUGCGUGAGUCCGUGUGACUGUGUAUUUGCGCGCGUGCUUGUGACUGUCCCUUGGGGCAGGAGAACAUCUGAAUAUUUCAAACCUACAGAAGCGGACUGAAUACCAUCUUCCUCAGCAUGGGCUCUCCUGGCUAUUCCACUGACCAUCCAUUUCACCCUCCAGCCAACUGCUCCUCUUGUGACACCCACCCCACCAGUAGCAGGUCCCAUCAUAGCAAUCUGCUGUUAGAGUCUGGAGGUGGGGAUUGCUUUGGUGGUUUUCCUGGAGACAGGAUUCUAUAUUAUGGAGAGCUAGAAAUGCAUAAAUUUGGGUUCCAGCUCUGCCCGCUGAUCAGCAGAGACCCCAAACAUGUCAUCUACUCUCUGCAGGUGGUCAUUAGGCUCUCAGUGCUUGUGGCUGAGGUGGCUUCAGGAGAGUGGGGGGCAGGGAGCGAAAAGAAAAAGGGGGGCAAGAAGAAAUCAUCUGAGAUGGAUGACGGACAGCCAGAUGGACGGAUGCUUAGCAGGGGGCUGCCUUUCUCCUGGAACCCGCCUGGCGCUGCCUGCCCAGUCCAGCUCUUCGGAUCCCCAUCUUCCCCCAGCUGUGGUCACUUUAACACUGGCAGGAUGUCUGGUUUUAAUGUGAGGAGCAUCUCGAAAUAGGAGCUGGUUUGGUUUCCACAAUGGAGCACAGAUUUCUGCUGGAGUUAUCCAGAUCCCAGGGGAUCAUUAGACAGCUCUGGCUGCCCGUAACCCUGAUUAGAAGUGACUUGAGGUUGGGGAAGCCGGUUGGAACAAAAGGCUGGAUGGUCAUGAUGCAUGAAAACUUCUCCUAAGGACUCAGAAAGGCAGAGUCUUCUGGAAAGCAAAGCCGGUGACUGAGCAGCAAGGGAUCCUAAAGGUGUUAAGGACUCCACCCUCCACCUAGGAGAGGAUGCCUGUGGCAUUUGAGCAAGGUAAGCUUGGCAAGGAGGUAUACCAUCUUGGGACAACCUGAAGACUUAGUUAUCAUCGCUCUUGAUGGCCAGGGUGGUGAGGGAUUGGCCUGGAACAAGCUCCUCCCCUCGGUCUCUAAGAGUUUAACAGCUUCUGCCAAAUAUUCAGAUCCCAUAAGGCCAUAGGAGUAAUUGGAUGAUGGCUCAGUCAUGUACUGUCUGUUCAUGUGUCAUGCAUUCAUCCAUGCAUGUAUCCAUGCAUCAACCAUCCAUGCAUCCAUUCACCCACCCACGCAUCCAUUCACCCACCCAUCCAUCUAUACACCCAUCCAUUCAUCCAUUCAUUCACCCAUCCACCCAUCCACCCAUCCAUCCAUCCAUCCAUCCAUCCAUCCAUCCAUCCAUCCAUCCAUCCAUCCAUUCACCCACCCAUCCAUCCUACUCUCAGGCAUGGGGUCAGCAUCUCAUAAAGUUUCUUCAAUGAGUGGAUUCACAUCCCUUUCUCCACCAAGUGAGGUCACUGACAGGUACCAUCUUAGAGGCAGAGAGCCGCCAUCCUCAGCCUCUGAACUUGCUGGCGCUUCAAUUUUCUCUCAGCUCCAGGACUGCAGGGCUGCAGAAGUAAACCUCUGUUCCUUCCAGCCUGAAGCGCUUUUCUUUCAAAAUGCAGCCACUGAGGGAGGAUGGAGAUGGUGGUGCGUUCACUACUCUUUUAGUGCGCUGUGACAAAAUACCCAAGGGGAGCAAGGGAAGGGAGACACCGUUUAUUCUGGCUCUGGGCUUUACAGGUUUCAGCACGUGAUCGACUGUCCUCACUGGUUUAAGAGAGACUGUUCCAGAAGGAUGUGGUGGAACAGGUGGAGCAGGAGCUCACCUCAGGGCAACCAAUCAGGAAGCAAAGACAGAAACAGAAAACAGCUGAGGCAAGGCAGCCCCUAGUUACUCCUUCCUCCAAGUAGGCUCCCCUGCUAAGUCCCCCCCAAUAGCAUUCACAACAAAUGCAAAGUUCAGAGGCCCCCACAAUCCAGUCAUUUUACAAUGUCUGAGAUCCAGGAACCCCAGAUAAUCCAAAAUAUCUGAAUCUACCAGCUGAGGGCCAAGCCCUUAACACAAGAGUCAAAUAAAACCAUAGCAUCGCCCCUGGAGCUGAGGUGAGUGCGAUUGCAUCAUCCCUCUUUUGGAAGCUGAUUAGAGCCCCUUGAGAAGGAUUUCAGGACCUGGCAGGGUCAGGAAGUGUAGGAUUCCCUUAGUGAGGAGCGAGUGCCGCCACUAAUUCUGGGGCCAGCCUUUCUGAACAGCUCACACCUGAGGAGCAAUGGGCUGUGGGGAGUUGUGCUCCCAGAAUUCACAGCAACCUUGGUGAUGUGCUCCUGAAAGAAGACCACCACUGCAGAGUCACACCUCUCCUUCCACAAAGGGCCCAGACCUGCACUGACUAUUGAACCUCCCUCCCACCAGGGCAGAGUUCUUCAGGGAAAAAGUGUGACAAAAUGGUGGGUCUCUACCCAGGGUGGGUCAUUGUGUUUACUAUGCAUGGUGACUGAUAAGAGUUUUAUUUUUCGUCCCAACUUAUUCCCAGCAUCUCACAAAGCUUAAGUAGCUGGAUGGAGGAAGGGAUGGUCUCUCUUGCUUGCCAAUGAAGGGAAAUAACAUGGGGGACAGUUUGUGAGAUGGAACCUUGCUCUCAGCACUGAGAUAGAGAUGGGAAAGAUAGCAGCGUUAAUAACUCUUGAAUAAACGUGUCCACAAAGAGCCUCCAAAUCACCCAGCAUUGCCCUCUUAGGACCAGGGGAGGACACACUAAAUUCAGAAACAGCUUCUUGGAUCAGAACCUUCCAGACACAAACCACUGGAUAGAUGUCUAUUCGUGAGUCAGCUUUCUCUGAACUCCCUGCUCCCAAUACAUACAUACUUCUACAUAUAGAGAUUUUUCUGAUUUUUUUUUUCCUCGAAACUUUGAGAAGCCAAAGCAGGAACCAGAGCCCACGGGUGCCACCUGCAGGAGGCUUGUGGAAUUGACCCAAUAACUGCUUAGAACUGUGGAAAUAAACAUUUCCUUGCAUCCCGCCUUCCUUCCCAGAAUGGCACAAGACAUCUUCAAGAGUCUCUAAGGUUAAUUUGGAAUCUUCCUUGGUGUGGAGCCAAAGUGGGAAAUUCAGAAAUUUCCCAUCCCCACAGUGCUUAUUGGACUAGGGAUUUUACAGCACAGCCUGAGGUGCUGGAAAGUGGAACCUAAGGCGUGCAUCAGCAGACCAGGUGGACAGAAGGACUGAGCAGCGCAGAGACUGAAAGCCCCAACUGGACCUCCCACCACACACCAGGCAGAGCCUUCGUCUUCCUCCUAAAUCCAGGCCACGUCACUUCUGCUGUGUUGCUUGCCAUUAGCAGCUGCUGCUCUGGACUUGCCAAGACCCCAGGAGUCUGCGUGUUAGGCUAACCACACAUCAUGUCUAAAUACAGAGAAAUGGUUGCCCUUUGUAGAAGUGUGGGGAGUGGAAAGACCCACAUCCCCCAUGUCUCCUUGCAGCUAACAAAUGCAUGACAGUCCUGUUCAGUAAGAAGAUGGAGCGUCCCAGUCUCUUGCGAACUAACUUGUCCCUUUAAAAUCCAGCAAGAAGUUCUUAUCACCACUUAGGCCUGUUUUUAAGUACAGCAGCCAGAGGACUGCUUUGGGGAAGUUUGACUCACCUACUUUCUUGGUCUGCAAUUAGGAAAAGAUGCCAGCAGGGGGCAGUCUCCAUCCCCUAGCUCUGUGGUCCUCAACCUUCCUAAUGCUGUGACCCUUUAAUAGAGUUCCUUAUGCUGUAGUGAUCCCCAACCAUAAAAUUAUUUCAUUGCU